UACGUAGGGGGCAAGCGUUGUCCGGAAUCAUUGGGCGUAAAGCGCGUGUAGGCGGUCCGGUAAGUCCGCUGUGAAAGUCGGGGGCUCAACCCUCGGAUGCCGGUGGAUACUGUCGGGCUUGAGUACGGAAGAGGCGAGUGGAAUUCCUGGUGUAGCGGUGAAAUGCGUAGAUAUCAGGAGGAACACCUGUGGUGUAGACGGCUCUCUGGACAGUCACUGACGCUGAGACACGAAAGCGUGGGUAGCAAACAGG
rnacentral:rRNA from 1 species